rnacentral:rRNA from 1 species
AUGGGGAGGCGGCUCCCGUUUGUCGGUUGUAGCAUCGCUCACCUUCGGCUCCAGCUUGCCGCCGCGCUGGUUUGUUGCAAAAUACUUGUCGAUGGAAGCUUUUUCGAUUGCAACAAAAUAAGGGAUCCGCCAUCGUCGCCGCAGAAAUUACUCAGGUCGAUGCAGCAAAAAAAGAUGUUGUUUCCAGCUCGGGGCUUCGCUGGUUGUAGCAAAACAAUCUGCCAGUUCCAGCUCCGGCAGCGUAGGUGGAAACAAAAUCGCUCUGCUGGUUGUAGCAAAACCAUUUGCCGGUUCCAGCUCCGGUGUCGGCCGGUGGCAGCAAAAUUGCUCGCUGGAUGUAGCAAACCGGGCACCAGUUCUAACCGGUGA